GACGAACGCUGGCGGCGUGCUUAACACAUGCAAGUCGAACGGAAAGGCCCUGCUUUUGUGGGGUGCUCGAGUGGCGAACGGGUGAGUAACACGUGAGUAACCUGCCCUUGACUUUGGGAUAACUUCAGGAAACUGGGGCUAAUACCGGAUAGGAGCUCCUGCUGCAUGGUGGGGGUUGGAAAGUUUCGGCGGUUGGGGAUGGACUCGCGGCUUAUCAGCUUGUUGGUGGGGUAGUGGCUUACCAAGGCUUUGACGGGUAGCCGGCCUGAGAGGGUGACCGGCAACAUUGGGACUGAGAUACGGCCCAGACGCGUACGGGAGGCAGCAGUGGGGAAUAUUGCAAAAUGGGAGGAAGCCUGAGGAAGAAACGCCGCGUGCGGGAGGACGGCCUUCGGGUUGUAAACCGAUUUCGCCUGUGACGAAGCGUGAGUGACGGUAAUGGGUAAAGAAGCACCGGCUAACUACGUG
rnacentral:rRNA from 1 species